ensembl:lncRNA
CCUGAAAAGUGGCUUUGUGCGACUAUUAAAACUUAUUUGCGUAUCCCGGCUAGCAACAUCGGCUCAACCAAUGGUGUGCAUUUGGGGCAUGGCUAUCCUUUCUUUUAACCAAUGACAGUGAAUUAUAUUUCUGAAAGCACAAUUGGAUCUGCCUGUUUGAAAAAAGUAACUUUCUUUAUGUUUGGCCCUGGUAGUGUCAUUUUCGCAAACGUUGCUUUAUCCUGUUAUGUCCAUAAAACGCACCAUUUUAUAUUUAUAAAUAUUAUGCUAUUUCUACUUGAUUUGUCCCUUAUAACUACUAGUUUUGGUUUAAACCAGCAAUCAAGGUGAUUCAGUCAUAUUCAACAAUACUUUUAAGUUUUUUUUACAGUGACAAAACAUUUUACAGUUAUAAUAUAUAGGCUAUCAUUGUCCAUCAUUUUUUUUUUUUUUAAAUUACAAUUACAGAGAAAUUCUUAUGGUCAUAUUUAUUUUGAUUUUACAUAACUUUGUCAUUUUAAACUAUGGUUUCCCUUGUAAACUUUUCUAAGAGUAAUAUUACCUGAGUAUUCAUCAUAUUUGAUUUGAUUUCUGGGAGCAGAUUACACAUACAACUCUACAUGCAACACAAUUAUCAUGGAAUAAUGUCAAGCCUUACAAUACACCACUGCGCAGGUGACAAAAGUUUUUAUUUUUUUAUGAAGUUAAGAUAUGAAUUAUUUUCAGUACAGGUUGCGUCAUAUUUCUUUCUCUGUGCGUGCUCUGCUGUGUUUACUUGUACGCCAACUAACGACCCAACAACUGCAAAAAACAAACAGCAGUACGAUGGCCGACUCCCGCGCGCGGCAGGAAUACCUGACAUUCGUUUGUUCCGUCGCCGUCGCUCCGAGCAACAGAGGCCAAUUACUGCAGCAGCCGCAUGACCUUUAGCAUGCAGAUGAGCCGCGCAGCGCACGCGCUUAUGUGUGUGUGGCCGGUAAAUAUUAACGGGAACGGAAGAGUGGAGCCAUAAUGACGCACAGAUCGUUAGAGACUCGUUAGGGAGCACGAGACGGAGGAUAUUAAAGAGCAGUUAAGAGCAAAACGCACAUACACACCUUUCUACAGGACUGGCACACACACACUUCACCAGUCUAACGUACUCCUAUAAUGCCUGCAUAUAGGCUACCUUUGUCUAACUCACACAUAAACACGUGAGAGUAAUGCAAAGAUCUAUCUAACAGACACACAUAUCUGACAUGCAACAACAUAAUUCAUGUGUCUAACACACACACACACCUGCCUUCUAUGGAUAAAAACACUAAAACUGUCUGACACACAAACACAUUCAUCCUACUAGCACAUAUAGACACUUUACCUGUCUAACACGCACCUCACAAUUUACUUAUCUGACAUAAACAAACUUCCCUGUCUAUCACACACGCUUUAUCUGUCUAAGGCGCACAUAUACCCACAAUUCACCUGUCCAACAUGCAUGCAAACACACACACACUGAGCGUCGCAAGUUCUGAGCGCUGCGCUGCCGGGGUCUUUCAGCACGCUGGCAUUAGUAUUCACAGACAGCGCUUCCCUUCAGUGCCUGAAUUAAUUUUCCACCAUGCGUAUGUGUGUGCGUGUAUCACAUCACAGAAAGUGCGAGACCGCGGCAGAGAGAGAGCGAUAGACAGUGUGUGGUGAUCUCCCCGAAUCUCAAGCCUCUUUUCCUGUUAUUUUAUUGCGAUUUAAAUACUUCACUUGUCUAAUGCAUGUAAUCUGACUAAUCAGUGCAGGAAAUUGCCCACAGUCUGUUUCUAAAGAGGAAACCGUUCUGUUUCGAACCUGCCACAGAGAGAGACAGGCUUCCGACGGAAAGCAGCGUGCACGAAGAACGAAGAUUGAGCGUGUGUGCGCAGUGGUGUAUCUAUGGCCUCUAGCAGGGGAUAAGUGGGCCAUGCUAACCAGCUAAUCCCUGACCCCUACAGGUCAGCACAGUGAUGUCAUGAACUGAUUCCAGAUCAGAUGCAACUGGCUGUGGGAAGGACUGACUGCAGGUCAGCGUGGAAAAAUAGGAAGGUUCGGGGGAAUAAACUUAAACUGGUGCAAUCCCACAGACGUCCUGGGUGAGUUUAUUCCCUUAAGCGCAGUGUGGAAAAUUUGCGUGUCAAGCUGUGUUUUCCAGCACAUGAAUCCACACACACACACAGUUUAAUCCUGCGCAGUGGGGAUUGCCGUCUGGAGAUUGUACCGCGUCCAAGACUGAGUCGCCGCUUGCUGACCUUCUCACACACACUUCUAUACAUCCGUUCUAAGGCGGUGUGUGUGCAGCGUACAGCUUUGAUCCCCAGCUGAAGGGUACUUACAGGCCAAAUUUCCAAAUGCGUAAGAGUCAGCCCUCCCACUGGAGAGAGAGCGAGAGAGACAGAAUGAAUUCUUACACGGCUCUGGGAAUUGGGUCUCGGCGGCAGGAGCUAUUAAUAUAUCGCUGCGGCCCCCGAGAGAGAGACGGCGAGGUAGACAGAAAGACAAUCAGAUAAAGCCAGCGAUAGAAAGAGAGAGAAACAGAGAGGAAGAGAAACUGAGAGACAGACAGGUAGUUCAGACAGAGAAAAAGAGUGGUAGAAAGAUAGACAGGCAAAGAGAUACCAAACAGAUAGAGUGAAAGAAUGAUUACAGAAGGAUAGACAGAGACAUAGACACAGAGAGAGAAAGACCUAUACUGUCCACCACAGUGAUCCUUAGUAUGUCUGUGUGUUUCUAUGUAAGUUAAAGAUGUUAUAAUGUGUUACAGUUUAAUACUUCUAAGAUGUUACAAUAUUCCAUUCUAUUACUGUGAUGUUCAUUUAAAUAUUAUUAUUGUUAUAUUAUUAUUUUUAUCUUUUUGUACAUGUAUACUUAGAUGCAAAGAAAGCAAUAGAAAC